AUGUUUGUCUUUGACCUCCAAUGUUGUUCUUUGCAUCCACGGCUUAGCACAGAUGGCUUUAAUUGUGAUUUUGCAGGCAUGAUGAGUUCUGCCCUUAGAAAGACAUUAAACACUUUGGCACACAAUACUAUGUGUUUGUGGGUAGCAGAGCAUAUGGAGAGACUUGUAGGAGCGGAGAGGGUACCAGGUGCUAGGCUUCUGUCAUGGAGUCUUUUGUUAACCAGUGGACAACCAAUGGAGUCAAAGGUGUACCUUGAUGAGCAGUUUUAUCACAGGACUGCCUUGUCCUUGAGACAAAGAAAGAGAGAGAGAGAGAGUGAAGGGUGAAGAAGUGAAAGAAAGCAAUUAUUUCUGAGAGAGGGCACCUUUGAAGCCUGGUGAACAUUAUGUGAGAUCUCACAUAUGGAGAGAGGUCUGAUUGGCCAUGAGCUGAUGAGAAAACCUGCACAUGUGUGUUUCUACCAAUCUCACAGCCCUUAGGGGGUCAGAGACGAACUCCAGCCCGUCAUGAGAGACACUUUACCAUCUUUCUGCAUGUUACACAAAUAAAAUCUGUCUGGGAGCAACAACAACAAAAAAGUUUUCACAUAGUAACAACAUUUACAGUACUCUGUGUAUUCAAUUACUUUUCAUAAAUUCUCUAGUUUUCUUUUUAGGGUUCACAGGGGUCAGUAUUAUAUAGUACAUUUUACAGUUUUCUUAGUCGCUUUUUUUCUAAAAUCAUCCUUAUCAUUUGCAAAAAAGCAGUAAAUGCAUUUCUCAGAACAGUUUGUACAAACAGCACACAAUGGAUGACCUUCAAAAGCCUGUAAGUUACUCAAUAUCUCAAAAGUAAAUAUUUAUGUCAACUAGAAUAUCAGUGCCAUCAGCGUAACAAAUUUUAUUGUCACUGUACACAAACUAGACAGUCAGUUUUUUUGUUGUCAGUGUGUACUGUGUAAGCUAUGGCUACGUUUUAAUGUCAAUGAUUGGAUAUAUUACUGUAUGUGUGUUGUAUACUGGACUACACAUUACUGUAUGUGGGAUAUUGAUUGCAAGACAUUGGACAGGAUUUACAUUUAUGCAUUUACUUUUGGUCUGUCAGCAAGUUACAGUGAGUUUACAUGAUUGAAUGAAUGAAUGAAUGAAUGAAUGAAUGAUGAAUUUAUUGCAUCAUUCAUUGAUUAACAGAACCAUUCUGCCAUUCUGUUUUGAAACAGUGCAAAUGGAUAACAGGUUUGAAAACACCUUCAAAAGCGUCUCUCAUAGACAACACUUUCCAUGGCUGUUAUACAUUUCUGAAGACAUGCACAACAUCACACAGUCAGUAGAAAGUGUACAGAAUGCAACAGAACAGGAAGUGCUUCCUGUUCUGUGAAUCAGUAGAUGUUCAGUGCUCAACUGCAUUCGAGAGAUGUGCUUUUGUUUUUUAAAAAGAGCUGUGUGGUGUGUGGAGGAGUCCUGAACGUAUUCUUGUACAUCAGGAAUUCAUCUGAACGCCUGCAGACCUUUCACUUGUAUGGGCGUCACUUUGUAUUAAAAAGCAGAGACACAUCAUGGCUCAUAAUAAUUAAUUUGGUUAUGCACAAAAAGUUUCAUUUGAACUUCUGCUGUUUUAAUAAAUAGUACUGACUAAUGAAACAAAACUUAGAAACUUUAGAAUUGGCUAUUAUUAUUAUUAUUAUUAUUAUUAUUAUUAUUAUUAUUAAAUAUUUAUGUCAAAGAGAAUAUCAGUGCCAUCAGCAUAACAAAUCUUAUUGUCACUGUACACAAACUAGACAGUCAGUUUUUGUUGUCAAGGUGUACUGUGUAAGCUAUGGCUACGUUUUAAUGUCAAUGAUUGGAUACAUUACUGUAUGUAGGUUGUAUACUGGGCUACACAUUACUGUAUGUGGGAUAUCAAAUCGUAUUUUUUUUGUGAAGGACGAAAGUUUCGGAGGCAAAGUGUAAACGUGAUUGACAUAACGUGAGGUCGUUUUUAUUUUUUAAUGUGUGAAAAUUUUGGUCGAGAAUUUCAGACUCAGUGUGCAAGGACCUUAAAGAGUUCACACACAAAAUGAAAAUUAGCCUGUGUUUCACUCACCCUCGAGGCAUUUUAGGUGUAUAUGACUUUCUUCUUUUAGACGAAUCCAAUCAGAGUUAUAUUAAAAAUUAUCCUGGCUAUUCCAAGCGUUAUCAUUGCAGUGGAUGGGUGUUUUGGUUCAACAGUCUGAAAGGCGUCAAAUAAAGUGCGUGCAUCCAUAAUGAAACCUGCCUCACACGGCUCCGGGGCAUGAAUAAAGGCCUCCUGUAGUGAAUCCAUGCAUUUUUGUUAGAAAAAUAUCCGUAUGUCAAAUGUAAUAAACACUUUUCUCUCACUUCUGCUAUCGGCUUCGGCGGAAGCCGCUCCGGCGGAUGACGUAGAUGUGGGGUGCACGCACCUUUGAGAUAUGCUAGUCUCACAAGUUUGUUUACAGGAGCAAAGGAAGCAAAGUUUCCAUACUUUAGCAAAGGAAAACCAGUCUCCUCUUGGCUUAUAUUGAAAUCCUCCAUCAUUUUUCUUUAUAAAUCCUCGGUUUGUACUUCUAAUUCAUGACUGGUGUUUUGUUUUGUUCUCUCUCCGCGUUUGUCACUAAUCACGUUACGUCCUACGUCAUCUGCCGGAACAGCUUCCGCUUAUGACAGUUAGAUGAAGUGAGAGAGAAGUAUUUAUUACGUUUGAAAUGUAGAUAUUUUUCUUACAAAAACACAUAGAUUCGCUACAGGAGGCCUUUAUUUAC
rnacentral:lncRNA from 1 species